AUGUCGACGAAUGCAGGGAAGAAGGUGUACAUUGUUGCAAUGGUGAUACGGGUGAUCUACACCGGCAUGUACGUCGUCUCCAAGGCGGCCUUCGACGGCGGCAUGAAUACCUUUGUCUUCAUCUUCUACCGCCAGGCAGCCGCCAGUCUUCUCUUGCUACCCCUCGCCAUCCUCCUUGAAAGGAACACGGUGAGCAUGAACCUGCACAACAUGAGCCUCAAGUACACCUCCGCGACGGUGGCUUCAGCCACGAGCAACUCCAUCCCCGUCUUCACCUUCCUCUUCGCCGUCCUCCUAUAUUACGAAGCCAUCAAGCUCCGCACCGCCUCGGGCGCAGCAAAGCUCGCCGGCGUCGCGCUCUGUGUCGCCGGGGUCCUCGUCAUCGCCCUCUACGCCGGCCCGCCGCUCAACCCCCUCAACCACCACCGCGCCUUCGCCGCCGCCAUGGCCGGCGGGAAGCAAGGGGAUUGGAUGGAAGGCACGUUCCUGAUGCUCCUGGCCAACCUGACGUGGUCGCUCUGGAUCGUCCUCCAAGCGCGCCUCCUCACGGAGUACCCCAAUAAGUUGCUGGCCACGACACUGCAAUGCCUGCUCAGCACGCCACAGUCCCUCGCCCUGGCGGCUGCUGUGACCGCUUUCGGGAAGGACAUGUCCGUCGCGUGGAGGCUACGGCUGGAUGUGGGGCUCGUCGCCGUGGCCUACUCCGGGUUCGUGGUGACGGGGGUGUCCUUCUACCUGCAGGCAUGGUGCAUCGAGAGGCGAGGCCCCGUGUUUCUGGCCAUGACUAAUCCGGUAGGGCUCGUGCUCACCAUGUUCUGCUCCUCCUUCUUCCUCGGUGAGGUCGUUCACCUCGGCAGCGUCCUUGGCGGGGCGCUGCUGGUCGCCGGGCUGUACAGGGUGCUCUUGGGGAAGAGCAAGGAGCAUCAACAGUCACCACCGCCACUGCCGCCUAGACUAGCUCCUGCAUCAGCAGCGUCUGACGUUAAACAAGGAUGCUGCAGUAGUAACGCUCGUAAUGGUGACAAGGAGGAUAAGAUAGAGUUGGAGGAGAAGAAUAUCAAGAUGGCUUCACAGGUGUAG
rnacentral:rRNA from 1 species